UCAAUGUCAUUAUAAACUAUCUUGGCAGAGGUUGAUCUCCAAGGAAUAAUUUCUCUCCUAAAUUAUGCCAAUCCAAAUUUCGCUCUACCGUCAUUCUUUUAAUCAGUUUCAGAGGAAUAAUAAAUUUCAAAAUUGUUCAAGGUACUUCUUUUAGUUCAAGUACCUUUGGACAGGUGUAAAACGGUAGACAGACUGAUACAAACAUAUUCUAAUUGACACAAAAGUAUAUGGGACCUAUUUUAAAAUCUAGAUUUUAAAAUGUCGUGUCAACAUACACAUGUUCUCCUUGUGAAAUAAUUGCUUUUUAUUCUCUGGAUAGAAUAAUUUAAUCUUUAAACCUUCAAUUCACUCUUAGAAACAAAAUAUUACAUAAGGAUAUGCUUAUAAAAAUAAUUCCCAACUAGCUUUUCAGUUCAGAAAUAUAUGUGAAGAAUCAUCAAACAUCUAAUGGAUUUCAAGGAGAAAUGGGUUAGUAAUUUAUUCCAUACGUCUCAAUUUUUCCUAGACUCAACGCUUCCUUUAAAAUAAUUGUAGGCAUUUAAGAAACCAUGUAAACUAAAAAGAAGAAAUUGUGACGCUGCCGCUUAGGCUUUUUAAGUCUUUGGACAUGAUUCAAUAUAUUUUUUAAAUUGUAUCUUAAUUAGACAUUGUGAGUUCACCAUCUUCCUGUCAAUACAGCAUCCAAGCUGAUUAUCAUAGAUUACAAGUUCAACUAUCAACUGUGUUCUGAGAGUCUAAAAAAAUAAAUGAACGUAUUUGUUUGGGUAUUCUUAAAGCAGGAGUGAGGACACAGCGAAAGUGAGACAAGGAAAAGAGAAGAAAAUAAAACAGGAAAGAGAGAAAAGCCAAUACCACACGUGUUAAGAGUAACAAGCUCCCGUGCUGCUAGAGAAAGUCCUCAGCUAGAAACUGGUGCAAAUUCUGGAGAUGAGACCUUGUAGAGUGUUAAGAAUGGUUUUCUUCCCAGCAGCUACAGGGCAGAGAAGACCCAGAGAAAGCCCAAGUGGCUGCUGGAACAAAGUCAGACAUCGUGCCACCUGUCCACACUCCUUGGCUCUGCCAUCAUGCUGAAGAUCGCUUUAAAGGACUGGCUUCCCUCCCCCCAAAAUGAAAAGAGCACAAACUGAGAAACUGAAUGUGGGAGACAGCGGUGGAUUAUGCUGUUCUCAGGGGUCACCUCAGGUUUGGAAGCAUUCUUUCAAAUUAACUCGUCUCAGGCCAUCUGCAGAGAAGAAAGGUGGUACCUAACUUUUUUUCUUGUCAGCAUUUGGUAGGGGUGUUUUAUUGACCAAAUAUGUUCCCACAACCUAGUUUUUUGUGACUAACUAAAUAUAGUAGAGUUUUAAAUUUUAUCAUCAAAAUCUAUAGACAAUUUUUGAUGAAAAUAGACUGCAUAUCUAUGUCCUGCUUUCCUUCUUCUUAUUAAUUACAUUGCUGUAUAAAAGAACAAGACUUCAGAAUCAAGAAUAUCUUUUCUCUUGGCAUUGAAUUUAUACAAAGUGCUCUUUCUUUAAUGCUGUCUCAAAGGACAUAUUUUUACUCAUUAAAAAGGAAGAUCGGAAUCUAGUUGUAUGAACUGCUCCAACAUAUUAAUAAUUAAAAUUAGGAGGUAAAUGUGGUCAAAGCUAUAGAAAGGCUGAGAUGUCAUUUAUAUUGAUUACUGUAUA